UGAACGCUGGCGGUAUGCUUAACACAUGCAAGUCGAACGGAUUCUUAGGAAUCAGUGGCGGACGGGUGAGUAACACGUGAAAACCUGCCUCUAGGACGGGGAUAACAGAGGGAAACUUCUGCUAAUUCCCGAUGAGCCUGCGGGUAAAAGGAUUUAUCGCCUAGAGAGGGGUUCGCGUCCGAUUAGCUAGUUGGUGGGGUAAAGGCUCACCAAGGCUGCGAUCGGUAGCUGUUCUGAGAGGAAGAACAGNCACACUGGGACUGAGACACGGCCCAGACUCCUACGGGAGGCAGCAGUGGGGAAUUUUCCGCAAUGGGCGAAAGCCUGACGGAGCAAUACCGCGUGAGGGAAGAAGGUCUUUGGAUCGUAAACCUCUUUUCUCAGGGAAGAAGUUCUGACGGUACCUGAGGAAUAAGCCUCGGCUAACUCCGUGCCAGCAGCCGCGGUAAUACGGAGGAGGCAAGCGUUAUCCGGAAUUAUUGGGCGUAAAGCGUUCGCAGGUGGCUCGUCAAGUCUGCUGUCAAAGACCGGAGCUUAACUCCGGGUAGGCGGUGGAAACUGAAGAGCUAGAGUGCGGUAGGGGCAGAGGGAAUUCCCAGUGUAGCGGUGAAAUGCGUAGAGAUUUGGGAAGAACACCGGUGGCGAAAGCGCUCUACUAGGCCGCAACUGACACUCAGGGACGAAAGCUAGGGGAGCGAAUGGGAUUAGAUACCCCAGUAGUCCUAGCUGUAA
rnacentral:rRNA from 1 species